AUUUAACUCCGUAACAGAGUCUUCUAGAUGUAUCACACUGGCGAUGUAUCAUACACUGUCAAAGGAAAACUUACAUACUUGUAUUGCGCGAUCUCGAUCGCGGAUCGAUCUCGAUCGUCCCUGCAGCGACACGGGAUGCAAUGACCGGUAUUUCAAGACCCACGAUAAAAAGAUAAGGAAUCGACUGUACUCUGGUUAACACAGUUAACCGACGUUUGUGAACGUGGCACGUACACUAUGGAACAAAACGCCGAAGUCACGGCCGCACGGUAUCACCGCAGUGACUAUUUAUGUAUUUAUUUAUCUUUUUUUUAAGUAUUCUUGUUACGUUAACUAAACAUUUUCACGAUUCGAUAACGUUGAGUCAAACGAUUCAAGAAGCUUUAAUUAACACUUAUUUAUUAAAGCUCGUAUUUAUAGCCGCGUUUCUGCUGAAAAUUUUGACUAAAACCAGUUUUGAGACGUCAUUGUCGUAAAUUUAUCCGAUGGUACGAAUUUCAAUCAGCAGAAAUGGCCGAUGUACCAAUUUAAACUAUCGAUGAGUGAAUAUUACAAUGUAAUUAAGCACGGAUAAGAUUAAUUGAUAUUUAAUUCUUUAAUUAAACGUAUCGCGAUGAAAUUCGACUCAAAGUUCUGCAUUAUGAUCAGCAUUUGUAUGAUUCCGUUAAUAAACGAAAAACUUGAAAAUUAUACAUUUUAACAUCGACGCCGUACAAUGAACGCAACAAAAUUAACGGUUAACUGAGACACACUCGUUCGGAAAUAAUUAAAAAUUCAAUGUCGCAUAUGUAUUUUCAUUUAUAAAUUCCGUAAAAAAUAU